rnacentral:rRNA from 2 species
UGAAGUUAGCGGCGGACGGGUGAGUAACACGUGGGUAACCUGCCCAUAAGACUGGGAUAACUCCGGGAAACCGGGGCUAAUACCGGAUAACAUUUUGAACUGCAUGGUUCGAAAUUGAAAGGCGGCUUCGGCUGUCACUUAUGGAUGGACCCGCGUCGCAUUAGCUAGUUGGUGAGGUAACGGCUCACCAAGGCAACGAUGCGUAGCCGACCUGAGAGGGUGAUCGGCCACACUGGGACUGAGACACGGCCCAGACUCCUACGGGAGGCAGCAGUAGGGAAUCUUCCGCAAUGGACGAAAGUCUGACGGAGCAACGCCGCGUGAGUGAUGAAGGCUUUCGGGUCGUAAAACUCUGUUGUUAGGGAAGAACAAGUGCUAGUUGAAUAAGCUGGCACCUUGACGGUACCUAACCAGAAAGCCACGGCUAACUACGUGCCAGCAGCCGCGGUAAUACGUAGGUGGCAAGCGUUAUCCGGAAUUAUUGGGCGUAAAGCGCGCGCAGGUGGUUUCUUAAGUCUGAUGUGAAAGCCCACGGCUCAACCGUGGAGGGUCAUUGGAAACUGGGAGACUUGAGUGCAGAAGAGGAAAGUGGAAUUCCAUGUGUAGCGGUGAAAUGCGUAGAGAUAUGGAGGAACACCAGUGGCGAAGGCGACUUUCUGGUCUGUAACUGACACUGAGGCGCGAAAGCGUGGGGAGCAAACAG